CCCUUAGAUGUUCUGGGCCGCACGCGCGCUACACUGACGAAUGCAACGAGCUUAUAACCUUGGCCGAAAGGUCUGGGUAAUCUCCAAAUUUCGUCGUGAUGGGGAUAGAUUAUUGCAAUUAUUAAUCUUCGACGAGGAAUGCCUAGUAAGCGCAAGUCAUCAGCUUGCGUUGAUUACGUCCCUGCCCUUUGUACACACCGCCCGUCGCUCCUACCGAUUGAAUGGUCCGGUGAAGCGUUCGGACCGUGGCCUUUGGACGGUCCGCCGUCUGUUGGCUGCGGGAAGUUCGUUAAACCUUAUCAUUUAGAGGAAGGAGAAGUCGUAACA
rnacentral:rRNA from 1 species